GGCACGGCCCGCGCGCCGCCGAUUGGCCGAGGGGCGCGCAGCGGGGGAAGCCCUUGGCUAAUCUCCUGCCACUCAGCCGGGCCGACGUCGGCGGGUUCGCAGCGCCGUGCGCGGAAGGACAAAUAGUCCCAAAGGCAGCACCGCGCGCCCCUUCACGGCUCUGCUCGCCCCGCCCGCGGCUGCCGGGGCCCUGAGGCCCGGGCGGCGGGGGAGGGUUAGCUUCUGAGCUUCGCCGACUCCGGCUCUCCCUUAGCGGCUAGAAAGGCCGCGGUAGCAAGCUGGGUGGUAAAGAAGAAUCAACGGAGAUUUCCCUUGGUGCCCUUUUUCGCCUAGCAUGUGACGCUUGCUCCUCCAAGUUGUUAUCAUUCCAAAAUCCACCUGGUUGCUGAUCCUCAGGAAGAGAAAUACUUUGGCACCUUUGAAUCUUUCAGCCACACCACUUCCUUUUUCUCUCAGAGCUCUACUUGGAGCUGGGAUGGAAAAAGAACUCUUGUCAAAUCCGGCAUUAAAGAUGUCUCUUCUUAACGGGU